UACGUAGGGGCGAGCGUUGUCCGAAGUUACUGGGCGUAAAGCGCGCGUAGGCGGGUUGGCAAGUCUGCUGUGAAAGCCCGGGCUUAACUCCGGAGGUCGGUGGAUACUGCCAGUCUUGAAGGUGCUAGGAGAGAUGGAAUUACCGGUGUAGCGGUGAAUGCGUAGAUAUCGGUAGGAACACCAGUGGCGAAGGCGGUCUCUUGGCGAUUCUGACGCUGAGGCGCGAAGCUGGAGCGAACGG
rnacentral:rRNA from 1 species